GACGAACGCUGGCGGCGUGCUUAACACAUGCAAGUCGAACGGAAAGGCCCUGCUUUUGUGGGGUGCUCGAGUGGCGAACGGGUGAGUAACACGUGAGUAACCUGCCCCUGUCCUGGGGAUAACUUCAGGAAACUGUGGAUAAUACCGGAGAGGAGCUCCUGCUGCAUGGUGUGGGUUGGUAAGUUUCGGUGGUUGGGGAGGGAGUCGCGGCUUAUCAGCUUGUUGGUGGGGUAGGGGCUUACCAAGGGUUCGACGGGUGGCCGGCCUGGGGGGGUGGCCGGCCCCAUUGGACCGGGGAUAGGGCCAAGACUCCUAGGGGGGGCAGCGGGGGGAAAUAUUGAACAAUGGGGCGAAGCCUAAGGCAGCAACCCCGGGUGCGGGAUGACGGCCUUCGGUUGGAAAACCGCUUUGGCCUGUAACGAAGCGUGAGUGACGGUACUGAGUAAAGAAGCACCGGCUAACUACGUG
rnacentral:rRNA from 1 species